rnacentral:lncRNA from 1 species
AUUAAGUUUCAAAUUGCAAUAUAGUCCUUUUCAUGAACAAUUGGCCUAAUUCGUCAGUUUUCACGUCAAUUUCGCGUCAAAACAGAUUCACCUCAAUUCCACCUUCGUGCUCACACGCACACAAGUAACAGAAGUCCAUAUUUUACACAAAAUUUUUAAAGUUAUAUCUUUUCACAAAAGGACACAUCCUUUCACGAAUAGUGAAAAGACAUAUAUCUUCGCAAAUAAAAAUACAUUCUUUCACAAAAGGUUUAUCUCUUUGUGAAGAAACGCGUCUUUUCGUAAAGAGAUAUAUCUCUUUGCAUCAAAUAAAAAGACAUAUCUUUUUAUAAGAAUAACAAAUUUACUAAAGAGACACAAGUAUUCGUUUGAUUUUAAUUUUAAUUAAUCAAGUUAUUUUCUCACAUCCAUCAUUAUAAUAUUCUACACUAACAUUUACUACCAAAAUUCUUUCAUUGCACGAGAUCAA